CUAUACAUGACUCUGGCGCAUAUCAAUAAGCGGAGGAAAAGAAACUAACAAGGAUUCCCCUUAGUAACGGCGAGUGAAGCGGGAAGAGCUCAAAUUUGAAAUCUUCAAGGGUUUACCUUUACGAAUUGUAGUUUAAAGAAGUGUUUUCUGCUGAGGUUUUGGUAAAAGUUCUUUGGAAUAGGACAUCAUAGAGGGUGAGAAUCCCGUAUUUGACCUUUACUUUCAACUUUGUGAUACACUUUCAAAGAGUCGGAUUGUUUGGGAAUGCAGUCCAAAAUGGGUGGUAAAUUUCAUCUAAAGCUAAAUAUUGGCGAGAGACCGAUAGCGAACAAGUACCGUGAGGGAAAGAUGAAAAGAACUUUGAAAAGAGAGUUAAACAGUACGUGAAAUUGUCAAAAGGAAAGCGUUUGACACCAGUGUUGUUUUUCUGAAAAUCAAUUAAAGAACUGUUUAUGCUAAGUUGUUUAGACUUUAUCAGCUAACUGUUUAGUUUUGAGCUUUUCUUUAAUGCACUUUUCAGUUAACAAGUCAACAUCAAUUUCUUUUGCUGUAAAAAAGCUUGAGGAAGGUGGCUUGAGAUUCGUCUUAAGUGUUUAUAGCCUCUUGCCUAUGCAGUCGGAGAGAUUGAGGUCUGCAGCGUAGAUCCUUCGGGGCUAAAUGCAUUUGUGCUAAGUUAUAGCAUUUUAUAGACAACUUGUUGACUAUGAUUUGUCUUGUAGCUUACUCGCUUAUGUUAUUUUACCUACGCUUAGGAUGUUGACAGCAGUAUAGACUGU
rnacentral:rRNA from 1 species